AUUAGAAUGUUGUUAUUGAUGAUGCCAUGUCACUACUCUAAUUUAUUUUCAUGUCAUCGUUAUAAAAUGCUAUGAUGAUGGUAAUGCACUGUGGAUAUGUUAGUACUUGGUAUUGUCAUGUUCUUUAUGUUGUAAGUGUAAGGGCAUAUUUAUCCCUAAGUGUUUUGGUGAUUGAUGACAAUACUCGUGCGGACUAAUCGUGUGCCUUGAGUCCCACAGAUACUUCAUCAUUAGGCACAAGACGAUUCGGUGCCCCUCGGAGACUAGUGAAGCCGGCGUUGUUCUACGUUUCUCUUUGGUGGAGUUGAGUCGUAGGAGAGCCGUACUAUUAAGAGGGGGUCCGCGUCGGAAAGGUAGGGUGGAAUCACACGUACACUAGCCCCUCCUUUCCUUGCACUUUGGAGCUACCCUUCGUUAUCAUAGUUGUGCGAAAAACUGACGACUACUGCUGUACUUGCGAUAGUACCGCAAGUACACGCGGUAGUACCGCGACAGGUCACGGUAGUACCGCCCCUCUGGCGCGGUAGUACCGCGGUACCUUGGCCUAGUGCCGCUCCAGUGCGGUAGUAGGGGCGGAUGUAAUUUUUUACAUCCGUGCCCCUCACGGUAGUACCGCUCCUCUGGUGCGGUAGUACCGCCGCACUCUGGCCUAGUGCCGCUCCGGUGCGGUAGUAGGGGCGGAUGUAAUUUUUUACAUCCGCGGCACCCACAGUAGUACCGCUCGUCCUGCGCGGUAGUACCGCGGGGGCCCACGGUAGUACCGCUCCUUUGGAGUUGUAGUACCGUGGCCCUUCUGCCUAGUACCGCUGCGUCGCGGUAGUAGGCGCGGAUGUAAUUUUUUACAUCCGUGCCUACCACGGUAGUACCGCGCCUUGCAGGCGGUAGUACCGCGUCGGGUUUUUGCACCACCCUAGUUUCUGCGGAAGUAGGCACGGAUGAAAUUUAUUUCGUCCGCGCCCUUCCCAGGCCGUGACCCUCCUGCCUUGCGGUAGUACCGCAAGGGGGAGCGGUAGUACCACGCCAGCGGUAGUACCGCUUCUAGCUCAGGCUUGUUCCGGCCUGUGCAGCUGCCACGGUAGUACCGUGAUCACACACGGUAGUACCGCGCGGCGUCGCAGUAGUACCGCUCCCUUGGAGCGGUAGUACCGUGAGUCGCGGGCAGAACUAGUGGAUAACGGUUGGAUCUUUUCCCCGACUAUAUAAGGGAUGUCUUCUACCUCUAGUUGACUACCUCUUCCACCUCUAAGCUCCAUUGUUGCUCCAAGCUCCAUUUUCGCUCGAUCUCUCUCCCUAGCCAAUCAAACUUGUUGAUUUGCUCGGGAUUGGGUGACAAGGGCCCGAUCUACACUUCCACCAAAGGAUAUUUGAUUCCCCCCACUUAUCCCUUGCGGAUCUUGUUACUCUUGGGUGUUGAGCACCCUAGACGGUUGAGGUCACCUCGAAGCCAUACUCCAUUGUGGUGAAGCUUCGUGGUGGUGUUGUUGUUGGGAGCCUCCGAUUGUUGUGGAGAUUGCCCCAACCUUGCUUGUAAAGGUUCGGUCGCCGCCUUCAAGGGCACCAAUAGUGGAAUCACGGCAUCUCGCAUCGUGUGAGGGCGUGAGGAGAAUACGGUGGCCCUAGUGGCUUCUUGGGGAGCAUUGUGCCUCCACACCGCUCUAACGGAGACGUACUUCCCCUUAAAAGGAAGGAACUCCGGUAACACAUCCUCGUCUCCACCGUCUCCACUCUUGGUUAUUUCGUGCCUUUACUUUCGCAAGCUUACUUAUUGUUACAUCUCUUGCUUGCUUGCUUGCUAGUUGUUAUUGCAUCAUAUAGGUUGCUCACUUAGGCCCCGUUUGAUAACUUUGCAUUUCCUAAGUAUUUCAAGAAUACUGCAGUUUUUCCAAAUACCAUGGUUUUAAUUACUGUGAGCUGUUUGGCCUCCACAAAAAACUGCAAUAUUUAUACCACAGUUUUCCCAAAAACACAGUAUUUCCUCUGCAUAAAAAAAAGACCUCCAGACCUCUUUUUUUUAAACUGAGCAUGCGAGAAAAACGAGCCGGUCACUAUCUUUCUUUCUUGUUCACUCCUGAGCUGCAGCCGCUGCUCUCUCGUUGCUAGAGAUCAAAAAUGGUGAGUACGACUGGGCAGACCUUGCUCAAGAAUACCGGCUGUGAUAAUACGCCUUCUGCAGCCUAGUGAAAAUUCCAGUCACCUCGGCUCCUAUUUUUCUCUGUGCGAGUGUGGCGGUGCCAGCCAGACGACGGCACGUCGAGUCAUCUCGGCAUAACUAGCGCUGUGCACAGCAGUUCGAUUUUCUCCUCAUCUUUCGUAAGUUAGGUAGCUAAGAGAAAACAGCUAGCUAGUAACAUUUACGUUGAUAUGCAACAUUAGCCAAACAGCUCAAAGUAUUCUCAAUACUCUAGAAUACAGUGAUAUCUGAAAAUUGUGGUAUCUUGUAUCUUCAUGCUAAAAUACUGUAGUUUUUUAAUACUUUGGUUUUUUAGCACUUUACUAUCAAACACAGCCUUAGUUGCAUAUCUAGACAACCUAUUUGUUGCAAAGUUUAAUUUGCUAAAGAAAAGCUUAAAAAUUGUUAGUUGCCUAUUCACCCCACCCCCUCUAGUCAACCAUAUCGAUCCUUUCAAUUGGUAUCAGAGCCUCGUCUCUUUAUUAAGGACUUUACCGUCCGAAGAGUAUGGUUGACACCCACGAUGGUGUGGAGGAACACUCCAGUGUGAAUCCUAUCUCAUCUUCGGCCGAAGGGGGAGCCUCGGUCUCUCGUGAGGAGUUCAAUGUGGAUUUAGACACAUUGAAAACCUCCAUGACGGCCAAGGUUAAAAGCAUGUUUAAUGAUUUCUUAGAGGGACUUAAAUUAUCUACCGCACCUAUGAAAGUGGGUGAUCCUACUAACAAGGUGACGGGUGCUUUCUCCGACAAGGGGGAAGCUAACAAUGAAAAGAGCCCUUCUACUAGUGGUAGAAAUGGUACCGGCAUCUUUGCCCAUGUGGAACCCCCGGUCUAUGGAGGGCCUAUCCCCUCCACCCAUUUGAAUCAUGCCGGUCCACCUCCUAAGUAUGAAAAAGGUGUAGAUUUUGAUAAUUGGGUCUAUCACUUUAAGCGUCAUUUGAAACAUGUGAAUACUAACCUUUGGAGAGUCAUUGAAGAAGGUUUUUAUCCUCAUGACCCAAGCAACUUCACCCCUCGAGAAGCCGUGGACAAUCAAUUCAAUGAGAGUGCUCUCUUCAUCAUUCAAGAUGCAAUUCUUCCCGAAGAUCUCCCUCACCUUCGACCCCAUGUCGUGGCUAAAGAAGCAUGGAAAUGUGUUGAGGCCCUCUAUCGUGGAAGUGCUAGCAUUCAACGGUCCAACUGUGAAGUGGUGCAAGAUGAAGCCGACGAGUUUGCAAUGAAAGAAGAUGAAGAACCUCGUGAGCUCUUUCGAAGAGUGACCAAACUCGCGGUGGCUCUUCGAGAUCAUGGAAGCAAGGACACGGAUGACAAUUGGAUCAAGCGAAAGUUCCUCAAGGCCAUGAUGCCAUACAACAAAGCCAUGUCCUCCGUCAUUCAUCAACGACCGGACUUCCACACCAUGACCUCAAGUGAAGUGUUGGAUGAGUUCGUUGCAAUGAGCAUCUUGGACAAGACCACCGAAAACGCGGUGCUCCGUUCUCAAAGAGCUAAGAAGCCUAACCUUGCCUUGAAGGCCAAGCUCAUUGUCGAAGAAGAGGAAGAAGUGGAAGAUGAGGAAAGCAACCCCGAAGACACCAAGUUCGACUACCAUGAGCACAUGGCUCUUGCUUCAAGACAAUUUUGGAGCAAGAAGAGCUCAAGACCCAACUUCAACAAGAACAACUCAAGUGGCGUCAAGGGCAAGCAACGAGUUAGAACUUGCUUCAACUGUGGCAAUGUGAGCCAUUUCGUUGCGGAUUGUCCUUAUGAGAAGCGGGAAGACAAUGGUGGCAAGUUCAUUCGGAAAGACAAAGCCAAGUCCGUCCCCAACAAGAACAACUUUGCCAAGAAGACUCCCACUCGUGGGUUGGUGGUUCAAGAAGAAUACCAAGAGGAUGACGAUGAUGAUGAGAAUGAAGAAGCAACGGCCAUGGCAUCCAUUGCCAUUGCUACUCCUCGGGUGUCUCUCUUCGAAUCACCCAACGAAAACAUCACCGCUAGAUGCCUCAUGGCGAAGGCUUCAAACAAGGUAACCCCCAACAUCACAACCACCAUCAUUACUAAUCCCUCCGUGGAGGAUUGCAUUGAUGGACAUGUUGAGUCUAAUGAGGAAGUAAAUGAAUUUGAGUCCUUCAUGAGUAAGCUCAAGGGAAAGUCCAAGAAGCACUUUGUUGCUCUCUUGGAACAACUUGGUGAGGCCAAUGACAUGAUCGAGGCUCACGAAGAAACCAUCUCCAAGAUGGAAGGUCAUAGUCGUGACUAUGCCGAUGAGAUAUUGGAUCUCUCUAAUGCUCUUGAGGAAGAGCGUGUGCAUCGUUUGACUCUUGAGGAGUCACACAAUGAUGCCCAUGCUAAGUUAAAGAAAGAUCUUGAUCAUGCUCUUGUCAUGUCUCGUGUGCUAACUUCCGAGAAGGCUAAACUUGGGGUUGAUCAUGCUAGACUCAAAGAGGAGUUUGAGAUACUUGACAAGGCCCACAAGGUCUUAAAGGGUACUCAUGCUAGCCUCAAAGAGUCUCAUGCUCAACUCCAAGUUAAGCUAAUCAAGGAAAAAGCCACCUUUCCUCAUAUGGUAUUAAUUGAUAAUGCAUGUGCUACUAACCCUUGUUGUGAGCAUGUGCAUCUUGUGGAGGAAACUGCUAAGUUGAAGGAUCAACUUGAGAAGGGCCUUGUGACUUGCAUUCAAGGUGAGAAAAACCUCGACGACCUUUUGAGCAAUCAAAAGGAAGUUGUGGGCAAAGAAGGAAUUGGGUUUGCACCCAAGUCCAAGAGCAAGAAGAAGAAGAACAACAAGGCCAAUCGUCCUCCUCCCCUCAAACAAACGUUUGUGAAAGAAGGAGACGGAGCCUCCAAGAAGAAGAAGGAGAAAGUGAAGGAAGUUGAUGUCCAAAAGGGCAAGAACGUUUCCUCAAACAAAGCCAGCGACUUUAACCCUUCAUAUGUGUUGUGCCGUGCUAGUGAUGGACAUGUUUAUGCUAAAUUUGUUGGUUCUCCUUAUGAGUACAUUGAAUGGUCUAUUUGGGUUCCCAAGGCCCUUGUUACUAACUUCAAAGGACCCAUUACUAAAUGGGUACCUAAAACCAAGCAUUGAUCUCGUGUAGGUGUUUGCUUCCGGUGGGGGAUCAUGGUUGCUCGAUAGUGGAGCAACAAAUCAUAUGAUCGGGAGCAAGGACUUGGUGGUGGAUGUGCAAGAGAUUCCAUCUAUGCCCACCAAUGUCGAGUGGGGUGAUGCAUCACAUUCUAAGGUAUUGGGUCUCGGCAAGGUUGUCAUCUCUCAUGAUCUAACGAUCGAGAAAGUCAUGCUUGUUGAGUCCCUUGCAUUCAAUUUACUUUCCGUUCGUCAACUUGCACUCAUGGGCUUUGCCACAUUCUUUGAUAUUGAUACCGUGGCCCUCUUGUGGAGCAAGACUCUUAAAGUAGCCUUUGUUGGGCAUGUCGAGAACGGUCUCUAUGUGGUUAACUUUUCGGAGCAACCCACUAAGACCGCGACAUGCCUAAUGGCUAAAGUUGACGUGGGAUGGCUUUGGCAUCGCCGUUUAGCCCACGUCAAUAUGAGAUCUUUGCAAAGUCUCCUCAAGGGGGGACCAUGUUCGUGGACUAACAAAUGUGAGUUUUGCCAAAGAUCGUGCUUGCAGUGCUUGUAUCGAAGGAAAGCUUCAUGAAAAGGCUCACCCUCCCUCAACCAUCAUCUACUCGAAGAGACCCUUGGAGCUCCUUCACAUGGAUCUCUUUGGGCCUCCAUCUUUUGAUAGUCUUGGAGGAAGAAAGUAUUUCUUGGUGAUUGUGGAUGAUUAUUCAAGAUACACUUGGGUAUACUUCUUCAAGAGGAAGAGUGAGACCCAACAAACCGUCAUCAACUUUGCAAAUGAAGCUCAACGUCAACAUAAUGCAAAAAUCUUGACAAUAAGAAGCGACAACGGCACCGAGUUCAAGAACUACACCUUGGAUGAGUUUCUUAGUGACGAGGGGAUCAAGCAUCAAUAUGCGGCACCUUAUACCCCUCAACAAAAUGGUGUUGCGGAGAGGAAGAACCGGAUGUUGAUGGAUGCGGCAAGGACCAUGAUGGCGGAGUUCAAGUCUCCAUACAACUUUUGGGUCGAAGCCAUCAACACCGCAUGUCAUGUAUCCAAUCGGCUCUAUCUUCGCAAAGGCUUGAACAAGACUCCUUAUGAGAUCCUCACCGGCAACAAGCCCAACCUCAAGUACUUCCGGGUGUUCAGUUGUAAGUGUUUCAUUCUCAAGAAAGGUGUUCGGUUGUCUAAAUUUGAAGCUAGAGCUCAUGAGGGCAUAUUUGUUGGUUAUGCUACAAACUCCCAUGCUUACCGUGUCCUCAACAAGUCCACCGGACUCAUUGAGGAGACGUGUAACGUGGAGUUUGACGAAAAUAACGGCUCCCAAGUGGAGCAAAGUGGUACUUGUGAUAUAGGUGAUGAAAUUCCUCCCCAAGCCAUAAGAAGAAUGGGUAUUGGUCACAUCCUACCCAUUGAGGAACCCCUUGUGGCCGAAGGAGAAGGACAAUGCUCUACUCAAGUAGAGCCAUCACCUCAUCAAGACCCACACGCUUCCGAAGAACAACGUGAAGGCCCUCAACCUCGUGAACAAGACCAAGGGCAAGAUCUACCUCAAGACGAUGAUGAACCACUAAAUGAUGCCCAAGGUCAAGUUCUCCCCCUCGAGCUAGUUCAAGAUCAAGAUCAACCUCAAGAUCAAGAACAAGCUCAAGACGACGCUCAAGAUCAUCAAGUCAACCCUCCUCCUUCCACACCCGAGGAGGAAUUAGAGCGUCGUGCCGCGAAGAUUGCUUCCAAGCUCACCAACCAAGGCCAUCUCAUGGAAAAUGUGGUUGGAAGCCUUCGUAAAGGGGUAAGCACUCGUAGACAAUUGGCAAACUAUUGUGAACAUCACGCGUUUGUCUCUUGUGUUGAACCCCAAAAGGUCUAUGAGGCGCUCGAAGACCCGGAUUGGCUCAAUGCCAUGCAUGAAGAACUCAACAACUUCGAGUACAACAAGGUGUGGAGAUUGGUGCCAAGACCUUCCGGGAACCACAAUGUCAUUGGGACCAAGUGGAUCUUCAAGAACAAGCAAGAUGCCCAUGGGAACAUCAUUCGCAACAAGGCAAGAUUGGUAGCACAAGGCUACUCCCAAGUCGAGGGUAUCGACUACGGUGAAACCUUCGCCCCCGUUGCUCGUCUUGAAUCCAUUCGUUUGUUGAUUGCUUAUGCUUCCCAUCACAACUUUAAGUUGCAACAAAUGGAUGUGAAAAGUGCUUUUCUUAAUGGUCCCAUUAAUGAGUUGGUCUAUGUCAAGCAACCCCCCGGGUUCGAGGAUCCCUACUUUCCGGAUCAUGUGUAUCAACUCGAUAAGGCACUCUAUGGCCUUAAACAAGCCCCACGUGCGUGGUAUGACCACCUUACCGAGUUGCUACAAGAUCGUGGUUUUGAAGUAGGGCUAAUCGACCCCACUCUUUUUACUAAGAAGGUCAACGGGGAGUUGUUUGUAUGCCAACUAUAUGUUGAUGAUAUUAUCUUUGGUUCCCCUAACAAAGCUUUCAAUGAAGAAUUUGCCGCUCUCAUGACCUCCAAGUUUAAGAUGUCUUCGAUGGGAGAGUUGAAGUUCUUCCUUGGUUUCGACAUCAAGCAAAGAAGAGAAGGAACCUUCAUCAACCAAGCCAAAUAUACUCAAGACAUGCUUAAAAGAUUCAAGCUAAGUGAUGUCAAGCCGGCUACUACACCAAUUCCUACCAAGUGCCAACUUGACAUCGAUCCCAAUGGUAAAGCGGUGGAUCAAAAGGUAUAUCGCUCCAUGAUUGGAUCCUUGCUUUACAUUUGUGCAUCUAGGCCGGAUAUCAUGUUGAGUGUGGGGAUGUGUGCACGUUUUCAAGCCUCGCCAAAGGAAAGUCACUUUGUGGCAGUCAAGCGAAUCUUUCGAUAUUUGGCUCAUACCCCAAACUUUGGCUUAUGGUACCCAAGAGGAGCAAACUUCAAGCUUGAAGGUUUCACGGAUUCCGAUUGGGCGGGAGACAAAGUGGAUAGGAAGUCCACUUCCGGAGGGUGCCAAUUUCUUGGUUGCUCUUUGGUAAGUUGGUCUUCCAAGAAGCAAAGUUGUGUGUCUCUCUCGUCCACCGAAGCGGAGUAUGUGGCGGCCGGUAGUUGUUGUGCUCAACUUCUAUGGAUGAGGCAAACUUUAAAGGAGUACGGUGUCACUUGUGACAAAGUGCCUCUUUGGUGUGAUAAUGAAAGUGCCAUCAAGAUUUCCCUCAACCCGGUGCAACACUUCAAGACGAAGCACAUUGAGAUUCGGUAUCACUUCAUUCGGGAUCACAUCAGGCGAGGGGAGAUCGAGCUCAAGUAUGUCAACACUCACGAUAACGUUGCAGAUAUUUUCACGAAGCCAUUGGAUGAAGCAAGAUUUCGCGAGUUAAGGCAUGAGCUAAAUAUCAUUGAUUUGAGCAAUGUGACUUGAACCCGUGCACCCCCCCCCCCACCACACUCAAUUUGUUGUCUAGUUUAGAUGUAGGCAUGGACAUAGGGGGAGUGUUGUUCUCUCAAUGAACUCUCCCUCCCCCCAUUAUGCAUAAAUAGAUUACCUCUUUCACAUUAGCCAUUUUUGAUGGUACUUGUGCUUCAAGGAUGAGUUUUGGUCAUGGGCCCAAGGAUAAUUCUUCGCGGUGCCAUACCAUCCAACUCAAACAUAGGUGGCUUCGGCCACCGCCCUCUCUCCUCGAGAGACCUUGUCACUUAGGGUUUUUACUGUUGUUCCUUGCGUUUGUGCUGCUUUGGGUUGUGUCUGUUUUUUUUUGGUGCAUAGGCAUGUUUUCUCUCUUGUUUGAAACCCUUGGUGGCGUUAGCUCACGGUACUACCGCGGUCGGCCACGGUACUACCGCGGCCAAUCACGGUACUACCGCGAUGGGAGCAUGGUACUACCGCACCCAAGCGGCAGUAAUUUUUUUACUGCCGCCUGAUGGAGCAGUACUACAGCCACGGCGCGGUACUUCCGCCCGGGCGGUACUACCGCGAUGACCCGCGGUACUACCGCGCCGGUUCGGGCGCAUGGAGAUAAGGUCGGGCAGGGGGAGUUCUAACUCCCCCAUACCCAUUCGUCCCCUUCUCUCCACAUCGCCCGUUCCUCUCUCAAGCCCACGAACGGAGCCGGCGUUCGUCGCCGGAUCUCCUCCACCGGCUACCCUCCCGUGAUUCCGUCCGGUGGGAUCGUUCCCCACCCCGUGCUCUUGCUAUGGACCAAGGUUUUUUCCAAAUCCUUCUCCGUUUAGAUUGUUUUUGGUUCUUCUAGGUUUUGGGGAAGGCUUAUGUGUUCUUGAGGUUCUUAGUCUAGAUCUCUGCAAGAGUAGGAUGAACGAGUGUGGUAUUGCAUAGGAUUUACACUUGUAUUGUUGUCUUGCACUAGAUCUGAUCACCGUAGCACCGCCAUGGCUUCGCGGGUCUUUUUCAGAUUCAAAUCCGCUAGAUCCGACGCGGCGCGGUACUACCGCCCGUAGGGAGCAGUACUACCGCUCCCGCGGUACUACCGCCCCUAGAGCGCGGUACUACCGCGCGCCGUGCGGUACUAAAGCCUUACUUCUGCCCCAGCCACGGUACUACCGUGACCCCUCACGGUACUACCGCGUCUGGAGCUGUACUAAGACUUUAGUAUCGCACCCCAUGGCAGUUCUACCGUCGCUCACAUCUAUCGCAUGCCAACUUUCUCGUUUAUCUUCUAUGGGUUUAUGUGCUGUCUUAUAGCCUUUGCAUUGAUCCUUUUCGAUUUGUUUUGGUGCUUUGCGUGUGUGUUUUAGGUGGUGGCUCUCGCCGGCCCAAUCCCGUUCGUGACACUGGUUCCAAGCGUCUGCGCAACCCAGGAGAAGUUCCCGAGGGAUCAUCUGCAUCGAAGCGCAAUGUCAAGUCCACCGCCAGCAAGCACAAGGAGCCCGCCAGGGGCAUGGAUGAGAUAGGUGCUCAAGAGUAUGUCCGUCUCAGGCAGCUUCACCCAUACGCGACCCCACGCUCCACUAUUAGAGGGUGUGAACUGUUCUGGAACAAGACUCAAACCCAGAUUUACUUGGAUGUCAUCAAGAACAAGCAGAAUACCUAUGUGGAGGUGAAGUGGAUUGAGAUGCACCACAUGAGGAAGGACAAGUUUCGUGACUACUUUGGGGAGGCUCUGGACUUGGUGGAGCAGUUUGGAAUUGAGCAUGUGAUCUCGUUCCACAUGGACUAUGACCCUGAGAUCAUCUGUCAGUUCUUUGCCUCAGUGUACUUUCACACCAAUGAUGAGAGGAGGAUGAUGUGGAUGACCAAUGGCCGCCAGCUGUCUGCUACCUGGAAGGAGUUCAUGGAUUUGCUUCAGGUUGCUGAUGAUGGACUUGACACUCCUGUUGGUGUUCGCCCUCACGGCAAUGCUGACUCUGCUGACAAGGACAAGCUCACUCCGUUCAUGGUUGAGAAGAAGCUCGCCACUGGCAAGAUAAUCUUGGUUCUCAACCCGUUUCUGGAUAUCAUGUACCGCAUGUUUCGCAACUCUCUGUUCCCACGCAUCGGUGACAAAGACAUGGUUCAUGCCUACAUGGUGGACAUGAUGCUUCUGUGCGAGGAGGCUCGCUCGUCUCAGACUCAGCCACUUGAUAUCUCUCACAUCAUGUGGUGUGAGCUUCGGUUUGCUGUGUUCAACCGCAAGGUGCCUAUUUAUGGACCCUACCUGUUUCUGCUGAUUUCGAAGACUUGGGAGAAGAUGUACCCCGGGGAGGAGUUCCUGGCUCCAGAUUGGAUUCGCCAUGAGCCCAUUUGUCUGAGGGUCAAACCCAACUGGGCCAACACCGCUACUCGUGCUGAGGCGUCUGCUGCUAGGGCUGCUGCUGUUGAUGAGGAUGAUGCUGAAGCUGAGGAUGUUGCUGGGGGCCGUUCUGCUAGGCCUACUCAGAGUGACUCUAGGCCAUCUUGGGCCAAGAGGCUGAAGGAUAAGAUGAAGUCUCUUUUCUGCAUGCAAGCCAAGGGACAGUACCGGGCUCACGUGGAGUCCAAGGAGAGUCGUCGCCGGCACAACAAGAUCUUGCAGCUCUAUGGCGAGGAUGUGUCUGGCGGAUCUGAGGAGCGCAUCACUCCUGAGACCUAGUGGAUGGAGAAGCAAGGAUUCAAGUGGACUGAUUCUGAGGAGGAGGCCGAGGAGUCCAUUCCAGCUGCGGAGGAGUCUGACGAAGAGGAGUGGGACAGUUUCUCGGCUUGAGCCACCCCUUUUGUGUUUAGGUGUCCUCUCUGCCUUUUUGGCGUCUCGAUGCCAAAGGGGGAGAGAGUGUAGGGAUUUGGAUUUGCGAGUUUGUGUGUUUGCCAGUUGAACCCUUUGCUGCUUUUAUCGUUUGAACCUUGGUUAUCUUAUCUCAUAUGGUGUAAGACAUAUGCACUCUAUCUAUCCUAGCUAGCUUGUGUUAUAUUGUGCUACUUUCAUGCUAUGCUAGGCUUAUUAUCAUGUCUUGGUCUCUAAAAUAUAGGGGGAGUGUUGAUCCUAGUUUGUGUGCCAUGCAGUCCAAAGCAUUCAUAUAUAGUGCACACAUCUAGGGGGAGCCCCGUCUAUAUUUUAGAGGAGUGGGGUUUGCCACUGCUUUAUACAUAUCUUUUCUAUGUGCAAAUCCUGUGUUGUCAUCAAUACACCAAAAAGGGGGAGAUUGUAAGGGCAUAUUUAUCCCUAAGUGUUUUGGUGAUUGAUGACAAUACUCGUGCGGACUAAUCGUGUGCCUUGAGUCCCACAGAUACUUCAUCAUUAGGCACAAGACGAUUCGGUGCCCCUCGGAGACUAGUGAAGCCGGCAUUGUUCUACGUUUCUCUUUGGUGGAGUUGAGUCAUAGGAGAGCUGUACUAUUAAGAGGGGGUCCGCGUCGGAAAGGUAGGGUGGAAUCACACGUACACUUGCCCCUCCUUUCCUUGCACUUUGGAGCUACCCUUCGUUAUCAUAGUUGUGCGAAAAACUGACGACUACUGCUGUACUUGCGGUAGUACCGCAAGUACACGCGGUAGUACCGCGACAGGUCACGGUAGUACCGCCCCUCUGGCGCGGUAGUACCGCAGUACCUUGGCCUAGUGCCGCUCCAGUGCGGUAGUAGGGGUGGAUGUAAUUUUUUACAUCCGCGCCCCUCACGGUAGUACCGCUCCUCUGGUGCGGUAGUACCGCCGCACUCUGGCCUAGUGCCGCUCCGGUGCGGUAGUAGGGGCAGAUGUAAUUUUUUACAUCCGCGGCACCCACGGUAGUACCGCUCGUCCUGCGCGGUAGUACCGCGGGGGCCCACGGUAGUACCGCUCCUUUGGAGUUGUAGUACCGUGGCCCUUCUGCCUAGUACCGCUGCGUCGCGGUAGUAGGCACGGAUGUAAUUUUUUACAUCCGUGCCUACCACGAUAGUACCGCGCCUUGCAGGCGGUAGUACUGCAUCGGGUUUUUGCACCACCCUAGUUUCUGCGGAAGUAGGCACGGAUGAAAUUUAUUUCAUCCGCGCCCUUCCCAGGCCGUGACCCUCCUGCCUUGCGGUAGUACCGCAAGGGGGAGCGGUAGUACCGCGCCAGCGGUAGUACCGCUUCUAGCUCAGGCUUGUUCCGGCCUGUGCAGCUGCCACGGUAGUAUCAUGAUCACACACGGUAGUACCGCGCGGCGUCGCGGUAGUACCGCUCCCUUGGAGCGGUAGUACCGUGAGUCGCGGGUAGAACUAGUGGAUAACGGUAGGAUCUUUUCCCCGACUAUAUAAGGGAUGUCUUCUACCUCUAGUUGACUACCUCUUCCACCUCUAAGCUCCAUUGUUGCUCCAAGCUCCAUUUUCGCUCGAUCUCUCUCCCUAGCCAAUCAAACUUGUUGAUUUGCUCGGGAUUGGGUGACAAGGGCCCGAUCUACACUUCCACCAAAGGAUAUUUGAUUCCCCCCACUUAUCCCUUGCGGAUCUUGUUACUCUUGGGUGUUGAGCACCCUAGACGGUUGAGGUCACCUCGAAGCCAUACUCCAUUGUGGUGAAGCUUCGUGGUGGUGUUGUUGUUGGGAGCCUCCGAUUGUUGUGGAGAUUGCCCCAACCUUGCUUGUAAAGGUUCGGUCGCCGCCUUCAAGGGCACCAAUAGUGGAAUCACGGCAUCUCGCAUCGUGUGAGGGCGUGAGGAGAAUACGGUGGCCCUAGUGGCUUCUUGGGGAGCAUUGUGCCUCCACACCGCUCUAACGGAGACGUACUUCCCCUUAAAAGGAAGGAACUCCGGUAACACAUCCUCGUCUCCACCAUCUCCACUCUUGGUUAUUUCAUGCCUUUACUUUCGCAAGCUUACUUAUUGUUACAUCUCUUGCUUGCUUGCUUGCUAGUUGUUAUUGCAUCAUAUAGGUUGCUCACUUAGUUGCAUAUCUAGACAACCUAUUUGUUGCAAAGUUUAAUUUGGUAAAGAAAAGCUUAAAAAUUGUUAGUUGCCUAUUCACCCCCCCCCCUCUAGUCAACCAUAUCGAUCCUUUCAG
rnacentral:lncRNA from 1 species